GGAUAGGUGGCCGAGUGGUUGAAGGCGUCAGUCUUGAAAACUGAAGACACAUUUUGUUGUUCGGGGGUUCGAAUCCUCCUCUGUCCG
rnacentral:tRNA from 1 species